rnacentral:lncRNA from 1 species
GAGGGGCUCAGAGUUUCAAUGAGAGGAGUCCUAUCCCAACUAGAUGCCAUUAGGACUCAGCUUCAGUCCAGACCCUCUAUAUCCAGUGAGCUCACUUUUGUUCAGCCUAUCGCCUUUUGUCCUCCGACAUCUUCUACUCGAACUAGACCAUCUAGUCGAGGCUGAAGCUGAUUCUAUUUUAGUUGUUUUGAUCUUGAGCUCGAUGCCCAUGCUCC